rnacentral:rRNA from 1 species
GGGUGGUAAUGCCGGAUGUUCCACAUGAUCGCAUGUGAUUGUGGGAAAGAUUCUAUCGGCGUGGGAUGGGGUCGCGUCCUAUCAGCUUGUUGGUGAGGUAACGGCUCACCAAGGCUUCGACGGGUAGCCGGCCUGAGAGGGCGACCGGCCACAUUGGGACUGAGAUACGGCCCAGACUCCUACGGGAGGCAGCAGUGGGGAAUAUUGCACAAUGGGCGCAAGCCUGAUGCAGCGACGCCGCGUGAGGGAUGGAGGCCUUCGGGUUGUAAACCUCUUUUGUUUGGGAGCAAGCCUUCGGGUGAGUGUACCUUUCGAAUAAGCGCCGGCUAACUACGUGCCAGCAGCCGCGGUAAUACGUAGGGCGCAAGCGUUAUCCGGAUUUAUUGGGCGUAAAGGGCUCGUAGGCGGCUCGUCGCGUCCGGUGUGAAAGUCCAUCGCUUAACGGUGGAUCUGCGCCGGGUACGGGCGGGCUGGAGUGCGGUAGGGGAGACUGGAAUUCCCGGUGUAACGGUGGAAUGUGUAGAUAUCGGAA